GAUGAACGCUGGCGGCGUGCCUAAUACAUGCAAGUCGAGCGAACAGACGAGGAGCUUGCUCCUCUGACGUUAGCGGCGGACGGGUGAGUAACACGUGGAUAACCUACCUAUAAGACUGGGAUAACUUCGGGAAACCGGAGCUAAUACCGGAUAAUAUAUUGAACCGCAUGGUUCAAUAGUGAAAGACGGUUUUGCUGUCACUUAUAGAUGGAUCCGCGCCGCAUUAGCUAGUUGGUAAGGUAACGGCUUACCAAGGCAACGAUGCGUAGCCGACCUGAGAGGGUGAUCGGCCACACGGGAACUGAGACAAGGUCCAGACUCCUACGGGAGGCAGCAGUAGGGAAUCUUCCGCAAUGGGCGAAGGCUUUGCGGAGCAACGCCGCGUGAGUGAUGAAGGUCUUCGGAUCGUAAAACUCUGUUAUUAGGGAAGAACAAAUGUGUAAGUAACUAUGCACGUCUUGACGGUACCUAAUCAGAAAGCCACGGCUAACUACGUG
rnacentral:rRNA from 1 species